rnacentral:rRNA from 1 species
UACGGGGGGAGCAAGCGUUGUUCGGAUUUACUGGGCGUAAAGGGCGCGUAGGCGGUCGUGACAAGUCACUUGUGAAAUCUCCGGGCUUAACUCGGAACGGUCAAGUGAUACUGUCGGACUAGAGUACAGAAGGGGCAACUGGAAUUCUCGGUGGAGCGGUGAAAUGCGUUGAUAUUGGCAGGAACGCCGGUGGUGAAGACGCGCGGCUGGACCUUUUCUGACGCCGAUGCACGAAAGCCAGGGGAGCAAACGGG